UUUUAAUCAAACGUAAAGAUAGAUGGCCAUGUGACUGACCCUAAAAUGAGAUUAAUUGAAGUUCUUUAAACAACAAAAAUGUUAUCCAGGUGGAGAUUACCAAUCAGGUUUCGUGACUAUUUGCAUGUCAUUGGUCAAAUUAAAAUGUGAGUGCACCUCCCUCUCCUGUCUUCUUUUGAUAAGAUUCACAUCUGUGAGACAUCACCUGCUGCAAAGAUGAGCAGUUCGGACAAAGACAAACCCGAGCACUGUGAUCAGGGCUCUGCCGACAGCAGCAGGAGGAGCCCAGAGCCAGGACACGGGCGUCCUCCAAGGAGGGGAGGCGGUAGCCCAGGGAAAGGACGUCCUGACAGGAGGAGCCCAGAUAGAAGACCCGGAGGUCCUCCAAGGAGGAGCAGCAAUAGCCCAGGGAAAGGACGUCCUCACAGCAAGAGCCCAGAUGGAAAACGUGGAGGGAGAAAUAGCAACAGUCCGAAGGGAAGAAAUAAUCAGGACUCUCAGUGAACAGACGGUGGGAGUCCUUAGGCAGCCAGAAGGGCUGCGACUAAUGAGAGGGUUGCCUCAGACAGCAGAUGUGUCUUCCACCAGAUCAACACUCUGCUUUUAAAAGAAACUCUACAAGAAAAAACAUCUCAGUAUUUUACGUUCUACUGGUUUGUGUGCACAUAUUUCUUGUCUUCCUGCAGCUUGUCAACCUGCCUGCACGGUCUGACAUUCGACCAACGGUGCUGAGAAGACAUGCAUGCAUGAAAUCGCUAACACACUGUACCGUGUCAACAUGAGAGAAGAAUAUGUGGUUCAGACUGGAUCAUGAAUUAAAAUACUUUAAAGACA